rnacentral:rRNA from 1 species
CCUACGGGAGGCAGCAGUGGGGAAUUUUGGACAAUGGGCGCAAGCCUGAUCCAGCAAUGCCGCGUGCAGGAUGAAGGCCUUCGGGUUGUAAACUGCUUUUGUACGGAACGAAACGGCUCUUUCUAAUAAAGAGGGCUAAUGACGGUACCGUAAGAAUAAGCACCGGCUAACUACGUGCCAGCAGCCGCGGUAAUACGUAGGGUGCGAGCGUUAAUCGGAAUUACUGGGCGUAAAGCGUGCGCAGGCGGUUAUAUAAGACAGAUGUGAAAUCCCCGGGCUCAACCUGGGACCUGCAUUUGUGACUGUAUAGCUAGAGUACGGUAGAGGGGGAUGGAAUUCCGCGUGUAGCAGUGAAAUGCGUAGAUAUGCGGAGGAACACCGAUGGCGAAGGCAAUCCCCUGGACCUGUACUGACGCUCAUGCACGAAAGCGUGGGGAGCAAACAGGAUUAGAUACCCUGGUAGUCCACGCCCUAAACGAUGUCAACUGGUUGUUGGGUCUUCACUGACUCAGUAACGAAGCUAACGCGUGAAGUUGACCGCCGUCGGGAGGUACGGCCGCGAGGUUAGUAAACGUUAAAGGUAAAGUUAGUACGGCGUGAGACGUGACCGAACGGACGACGACGAGGGAGGAGG